rnacentral:rRNA from 1 species
UACGGAGGGGGCAAGCGUUAUUCGGAAUUAUUGGGCGUAAAGGGCGCGUAGGCGGCUAGAUGUGUCAAAGGUGAAAUCCCUCGGCUCAACUGAGGAACUGCCUUUGAAACUGUCUGGCUUGAGGCCGGGAGAGGGUAGCGGAAUUCCCAGUGUAGCGGUGAAAUGCGUAGAUAUUGGGAGGAAUACCAGUGGCGAAGGCGGCUACCUGGACCGGUUCUGACGCUGAGGCGCGAAAGCGUGGGUAGCAAACAGG